rnacentral:rRNA from 1 species
GACGAACGCUGGCGGCGUGCCUAAUACAUGCAAGUUGAGCGAUGAAGAUUGGUGCUUGCACCAAUUUGAAGAGCAGCGAACGGGUGAGUAACGCGUGGGGAAUCUGCCUUUGAGCGGGGGACAACAUUUGGAAACGAAUGCUAAUACCGCAUAACAACUUUAAACAUAAGUUUUAAGUUUGAAAGAUGCAAUUGCAUCACUCAAAGAUGAUCCCGCGUUGUAUUAGCUAGUUGGUGAGGUAAAGGCUCACCAAGGCGAUGAUACAUAGCCGACCUGAGAGGGUGGUCGGCCACAUUGGGACUGAGACACGGCCCAAACUGCUACGGGAGGCAGCAGUAGGGAAUCUUCGGCAAUGGACGAAAGUCUGACCGAGCAACGCCGCGUGAGGGAAGAAGGUUUUCGGAUCGGAAAACUCGGUUGGUAGAGAAGAACGUUGGUGAGAGUGGAAAGCUCAUCAAGUGACGGUAACUACCCAGAAAGGGACGGCUAACUACGUG